CAUAUUUCAGUUGCUCAGCAAGUAAUGGUCUUUGCAUUUCCAGCUUUGUUUCUGAACUGCUUAACCUACCCUCGUAUUCACUCACCAAAUCCCUCAAUCCAACCACUUCACUCUCCAAUGCAUUUUGCUUCUCACGCAUCACUCCUUCCAACUCUGAUAGUUUCUCAUCUUUUUCACUUACAGAUUUCUCUAAACUGUCCGCAUUUUGCUUCUCACACAUCACUCCUUCCAACUCCGAUAGUUUCUCAUCUUUUUCACUUACACGUUUCUCUAAACUGUCGACAAUUGAAGCUUUCUUCGCAACCUCCUCUCUCAAAC
rnacentral:lncRNA from 1 species